GAUUUUGCGAAGAGAGGAAUUGCAGUAGCAUUUAUUUCCCUGUUAAAGAGAGCUGACGGUCGCUGUGAGUCAGUACAAAAAUAAAUGUGAAUUACGAUCCUGGAGCUUCUUUUUCGACAUAAGGCGUUUGUCUUAUCUAGGGAAAGACGGUGAUGAACCGUUAUUUCAAUGAAGUGGUGAACGUUUUUGUUCACAACUAGGGUGGUACCGCGAUCUCUCUCGUCCCUACU
rnacentral:ncRNA from 1 species